AGAGACAAGGUCUUGCUCUGUCACCCUGGCUGGUCUUGAACUCCUGGCUUCAAGCAAUUCAUCCAUCUCAGCCUCCUGAGUAGCUGGGAUUACAGAAAAAACAGUGAAGCAUAGACAGUUUUUGCAAGAGGCCCAAGAUCAUACAUCAAAUAUGUGCACAGCCAGGACCUGAACCAGUUGAUAUCUACAAAUGCCUGGCUUUUGCCACUGGGCUCCUUCAGGAAUACUAAACUCAAAGUAGG
rnacentral:lncRNA from 10 species